rnacentral:rRNA from 1 species
UACGAAGGUGGCAAGCGUUGUUCGGAUUUACUGGGCGUACAGGGAGCGUAGGCGGUUGGAUAAGCCCUCCGUGAAAUCUCCAGGCUUAACCUGGAAAGUGCAGAGGGGACUGUUCAGCUAGAGGAUGGGAGAGGAGCGCGGAAUUCCCGGUGUAGCGGUGAAAUGCGUAGAGAUCGGGAGGAAGGCCGGUGGCGAAGGCGGCGCUCUGGAACGUUUCUGACACUGAGGCUCGAAAGCGUGGGGAGCAAACAGG